GUGAACUACUGCUUUUGCUAAUCUACCGCAGGUGACCAUGACAAUCCAGGUUCUGUGAACUACUGCUUGUGAUAAUCUACAGCAGAUGACCAUGACAAUCCAGGUUCUGUGGAUCGACUGCUUGUGCUAAUCUACCGCAGGUGACCAUAACAAUCCAGCAGAUAACUUCAGGAUUUAUAGAAGGCAUAUAAUGACAGUGAGCGGGACCAAAACUCUUGACAAUCUAAGUCACCUAUAGGUAGCAUAAGUAAUCUAUAUGACUCAAGUUGCUCAAAUAAUGUCUAGAUGUGUAACGAAUACCUUGUAUGUACAGAGCUAUGUUCUGAAUCUGAUAUACUCCGCUUGUAUUCCCACUGUCAGAUGAACAUUUUAAAAAAUAAAUAUUUUUGCAUUUCCCCAGAAUGUCUUAUUUUUUUUUUUUUUAAGAUUUAUUUUUGGCGUUUUUUGCCUUUAUUUGACAGAGAGAGUGACUCUUUUCAAAGAGGACAGGAAGCGAAGUGGAUGAGAGAUCGGGAAAGGACCACGAGCUGGGAUUCGAACUCGGGUCGCCCAGGACACACCGGCGCCAUAUGUCGGAGCACGAACUACUCGACCACCUGGCUCAGACCCCCAGAAUGUCUUUUUCUGUU